UACGUAGGGCGCAAGCGUUGUCCGGAAUUAUUGGGCGUAAAGAGCUCGUAGGCGGCCUGUUGCGUCCGCUGUGAAAUCCCGGGGCUUAACCCCGGGCGUGCAGUGGAUACGGGCAGGCUGGAGGCAGGCAGGGGAGAGCGGAAUUCCCGGUGUAGCGGUGAAAUGCGCAGAUAUCGGGAGGAACACCGGUGGCGAAGGCGGUUCUCUGGGCCGGGACUGACGCUGAGGAGCGAAAGCGUGGGGAGCGAACAGG
rnacentral:rRNA from 1 species